rnacentral:miRNA from 1 species
UGGCGCUUAUGUGUAGAACCGG